UUAAGUAAGGAAGGGCGUACGGCGAAUGCCUUGCCACUCGAAACUGAAGAAGGACGCGCCAAACUGCGAAAAGCUCCGUGAAGCUGUAAGGAAGCGAAGAAGCGGAGGUGUCCGAAUGGGGGAACCCGGCAGCAGACAUGAGCUGUCAUCUGCAGGUGAAUACAUGGCCUGCAAGAGAGGUACCCGGCGAACUGAAACAUCUAAGUAGCCGGAGGAAAAGAAAACAACAGUGAUUCCCUGAGUAGCGGCGAGCGAAAGGGGAGAAGCCCAAACCGGUCCGAGGACCGGGGUUGAAGGACCAUGAUAUGGCAAGAGCGAGGAUAGGAGAACGGGAUCGAAAGCCCGGCCGAAGAAGGUGAAAGCCCUGUAACCGAAAUCCGAGCGAAGCCUAAUGGGAUCCUGAGUACGGCGAGACACGAGAAAUCUUGUCGGAAGCAGGCGGGACCAUCCGCCAAGGCUAAAUAUAAACGAGUGAGCGAUAGUGAACCAGUACCGUGAGGGAAAGGUGAAAAGAACCGCGGGAGCGGAGUGAAAGAGAACCUGAAACCGUAUGCCUACAAGAAGUCAGAGCCCGUUAAGGGGUGAUGGCGUGCCUUUUGUAGAAUGAACCGGCGAGUUACUGUAUGGAGCGAGGUUAAGCAGGAUAUGCGGAGCCGAAGCGAAAGCGAGUCUUAAGAGGGCGCGAGUUGCAUGCAGUAGACCCGAAACCGGGUGAUCUAGCCAUGACCAGGUUGAAGUUGGGGUAAAACCCGAUGGAGGACCGAACCGACCCCCGUUGAAACGUUGGCGGAUGAGUUGUGGCUAGGGGUGAAAUUCCAAUCGAACCCGGAGAUAGCUGGUUCUCCCCGAAAUAGCUUUAGGGCUAGCGUCGAGAGAAGAGUUGCGUGAAGGUAGAGCACUGAAUAUGUGAUGGCCCCAUCUCGGGGUACUGAGCAUAAUCAAACUGCGAAUGUCACGCCAACAUGCUCGGCAGUCAGACAGCGGGUGAUAAGGUCCGUUGUCAAGAGGGAAACAGCCCAGACCAUCAGCUAAGGUCCCAAAAUGUAUGCUAAGUGGAAAAGGAUGUGGAGAUGUACAGACAACUAGGAGGUUGGCUCAGAAGCAGCCAUCCUUUAAAGAGUGCGUAACAGCUCACUAGUCGAGUGACCCUGCGCCGAAAAUGUACCGGGGCUAAGCCUGAUACCGAAACUGCGGAUUGUAGGAAACUAUAGUGGUAGGGGAGCGUUGUAUACGAGCAGAAGCCGUACCGUGAGGAGCGGUGGAUUGUAUAGAAGUGAGAAUGCCGGUGUGAGUAGCGAGAUGUAGGUGAGAAUCCUACACACCGAAAGCCCAAGGAUUCCAGGGGAAGGUUCGUCCGCCCUGGGUAAGUCGGGACCUAACGCGAGGCCGAAAGGCGUAGUGGAUGGAAAGCAGGCGAAAGAUUCCUGCACCCGUAUAUGGAGCGAAGGAGUGACGGAGACGGAUAGUGUGACCCUCUUAAUGGAUUGAGGGCGAAGCGAAGCGGCUGGUUACCAGGCAAAUCCGGUAACCAAAAGGCUAGAGCGUGACAGGUAAGCGAAAUCUUAGGAAAGUAGCGAAGCACAUGAUGACGGCUUCCAGGAAAAGCUUCUGGCAAUGCAUAUGCGGCCCGUACCAAAACCGACACAGGUGGGCAGGGAGAGAAUCCCGAGGUGAGCGAGAGAACUGUUGCCAAGGAACUCGGCAAAAUGACUCCGUAAGUUAGCGAGAAGGAGUGCUUAAGCAAUUAAGCCGCAGUGAAGAGGCCCAAGCGACUGUUUAACUAAAACACAGCUCUCUGCGAAGUCGCAAGACGAAGUAUAGGGGGUGACACCUGCCCGGUGCUGGAAGGUUAAGAGGAUCUGUUAAGAGCGAUCUGAAGCAGUGAUCCGAAGCCCCAGUGAACGGCGGCCGUAACUAUAACGGUCCUAAGGUAGCGAAAUUCCUUGGCAGGUAAGUUCUGACCCGCACGAAAGGUG
rnacentral:rRNA from 1 species